GUGAGGAAUAUUGGACAAUGGGCGCAAGCCUGAUCCAGCCAUGCCGCGUGCAGGAAGACGCAUCUAUGGUGUGUAAACUGCUUUUGUACGGGAAGAAACACUCCCUCGUGAGGGAGCUUGACGGUACCGUAAGAAUAAGGAUCGGCUAACUCCGUGCCAGCAGCCGCGGUAAUACGGAGGAUCCAAGCGUUAUCCGGAAUCAUUGGGUUUAAAGGGUCCGUAGGCGGUUUAAUAAGUCAGUGGUGAAAGCCCAUCGCUCAACGAUGGAACGGCCAUUGAUACUGUUAGACUUGAAUUACAAGGAAGUAACUAGAAUAUGUAGUGUAGCGGUGAAAUGCUUAGAUAUUACAUGGAAUACCAAUUGCGAAGGCAGGUUACUACUUGUGGAUUGACGCUGGUGGACGAAAGCGUGGGGAGCGAACAGGAUUAGAAACCCGGGUAGUCC
rnacentral:rRNA from 1 species